rnacentral:rRNA from 1 species
GAUGAACGCUGGCGGCGUGCCUAAUACAUGCAAGUCGAGCGAACAGACGAGGAGCUUGCUCCUCUGACGUUAGCGGCGGACGGGUGAGUAACACGUGGAUAACCUACCUAUAAGACUGGGAUAACUUCGGGAAACCGGAGCUAAUACCGGAUAAUAUAUUGAACCGCAUGGUUCAAUAGUGAAAGACGGUUUUGCUGUCACUUAUAGAUGGAUCCGCGCCGCAUUAGCUAGUUGGUAAGGUAACGGCUUACCAAGGCAACGAUGCGUAGCCGACCUGAGAGGGUGAUCGGCCACACUGGAACGGGGACACGGUCAAGACUCCUACGGGAGGCAGCAGUAGGGAAUCUUCCGCAAUGGGCGAAAGCCUGACGGAGCAACGCCGCGUGAGUGAUGAAGGUCUUCGGAUCGUAAAACUCUGUUAUUAGGGAAGAACAAAUGUGUAAGUAACUAUGCACGUCUUGACGGUACCUAAUCAGAAAGCCACGGCUAACUACGUG